rnacentral:rRNA from 1 species
UACGUAGGCAGCAAGCGUUGUUCGGAGUUACUGGGCGUAAAGGGUGUGUAGGCGGUCUCGUAAGUCUGGUGUGAAAUCUCCCGGCUCAACUGGGAGGGUGCGCCGGAAACUGCGAGGCUAGAGUGUGGGAUGGGAGAGUGGAAUUCCUGGUGUAGCGGUGAAAUGCGUAGAUAUCAGGAGGAACACCUGCGGUGUAGACGGCUCUCUGGACCACUACUGACGCUGAAACACGAAAGCGUGGGGAGCGAACAGG